rnacentral:rRNA from 1 species
CACGUAGGGCGCAAGCGUUGUCCGGAAUUAUUGGGCGUAAAGAGCUCGUAGGCGGUCUGUUGCGUCCGCUGUGAAAACUCGGGGCUUAACCCCGAGCCUGCAGUGGAUACGGGCAGACUAGAGGUAGGUAGGAGAGAAUGGAAUUCCCGGUGUAGCGGUGAAAUGCGCAGAUAUCGGGAGGAACACCGGUGGCGAAGGCGGUUCUCUGGGCCUUACCUGACGCUGAGGAGCGAAAGCGUGGGGAGCGAACAGG